AACGCACGAGACCUGCGGACCUGCGGAAGGAUCAUUACCGAGUUUACAAAACUCCCAAACCCUUUGUGAACCUUACCUAUCGUUGCUUCGGCGGGACCGCCCCGGCGCCCUCGCGGCCCGGAACCAGGCGCCCGCCGGAGGCCCCAAACCCUCAUGUCUUUAGUGGUUUCCUCCUCUGAGUGACAUAAACAAAUAAAGUAAAAACUUUCAGCAACGGAUCUCUAGAUCGGAAGAGCACAC
rnacentral:misc_RNA from 1 species